CCUACGGGAGGCAGCAGUGAGGAAUAUUGGUCAAUGGACGCAAGUCUGAACCAGCCAUGCCGCGUGCAGGAAGACGGCUCUAUGAGUUGUAAACUGCUUUUGUACGAGGGUAAACGCAGAUACGCGUAUCUGUCUGAAAGUAUCGUACGAAUAAGGAUCGGCUAACUCCGUGCCAGCCGCCGCGGGAAUACGGAGGAUUCAAGCGUUAUCCGGAUUUAUUGGGUUUAAAGGGUGCGUAGGCGGUCGGAUAAGUUAGAGGUGAAAUCCCGGGGCUCAACUUCGGAAUUGCCUCUGAUACUGUUCGGCUAGAGUGUAGUUGAGGUAGGCGGAAUGUAUGGUGUAGCGGUGAAAUGCUUAGAGAUCAUACAGAACACCGAUUGCGAAGGCAGCUUACCGAGCUACUUCUGACGUUGAGGCACGAAAGCGUGGGGAGCAAACAGGAUUAGAUACCCCAGUAGUC
rnacentral:rRNA from 1 species